rnacentral:rRNA from 1 species
GCACAAGCAGCGGAGCGUGUGGUUUAAUUCGAUGCUACACGAAGAACCUUACCUGGGUUUGACAUAGAGGUAGUAGGGAAGCGAAAGCGGACCGACCUUCGGGGAGCCUCUACAGGUGUUGCAUGGCUGUCGUCAGCUCGUGUCGUGAGAUGUUCGGUUAAGUCCGCUAACGAGCGCAACCCUCGCUGUGUGUUACAAGUGUCACACGGUACUGCCGAUAUUAAGUCGGAGGAAGGUGGGGAUGACGUCAAGUCAGCAUGACCUUUAUAUCCAGGGCUACACACACGCUACAAUGGCCAGUACAAUGGGUUGCCAAGCCGCGAGGCGGAGCCAAUCCUAAAAAGCUGGCCUCAGUUCAGAUUGCAGUCUGCAACUCGACUGCAUGAAGUUGGAGUUGCUAGUAACCGCAGGUCAGCAAUACUGCGGUGAAUACGUUCCCGGGGAUU